rnacentral:rRNA from 2 species
UCAAGUGACUAAGUGCAUGUGGCGGAUGCCUUGGCGAUCACAGGCGAAGAAAGACGCGGCAGCCUGCGAAAAGCUGCGGGGAGCUGGCAAACGAGCUUUGAUCCGCAGAUAUCUGAAUGGGGGAACCCACACCGCAAGGUGUAUCCGUGACUGAAUACAUAGGUUACGGAGGCGAACGAGGAGAACUGAAACAUCUAAGUAUCCUCAGGAAAAGAAAUCAACCGAGAUUCCGGCAGUAGCGGCGAGCGAACCCGGAGGAGCCUAGCUUUUGAUAGUACGAACUUUAGCCGAAAGGUCCUGGAAAGGCCUGCUAUAGUGGGUGAUAGCCCCGUAGGCGAAAGAGUUCGUACGGUACUAAGGAAGCGAGAAGUAGAGCGGGACACGUGGAAUCCUGUUCGAAGAUGGGGGGACCAUCCUCCAAGGCUAAAUACUCGUGAUCGACCGAUAGUGAACCAGUACCGUGAGGGAAAGGCGAAAAGAACCCCGGGAGGGGAGUGAAAUAGAACCUGAAACCGCAUGCAUACAAACAGUAGGAGCCUCGUCAGAGGUGACUGCGUACCUUUUGCAUAAUGGGUCAGCGACUUACAUUCUGUGGCGAGCUUAACCGAAUAGGGGAGGCGCAGCGAAAGCGAGUUCGAAAUGAGCGUCCAGUCGCAGGGUGUAGACCCGAAACCAGAUGAGCUAUCCAUGGCCAGGUUGAAGGUGUGGUAACACACACUGGAGGACCGAACCGACUAGUGUUGCAAAAUUAGCGGAUGAGCUGUGGAUAGGGGUGAAAGGCCAAACAAAUCUGGAGAUAGCUGGUUCUCCCCGAAAACUAUUGAGGUAGUGCCUCGUGUGUCGCUCCAGGGGGUAGAGCACUGUUUUGGCUAGGGGGACAUGGAGUCUUACCAAACCAAGGCAAACUCCGAAUACCUGGAAGCGUAAGCACGGGAGACAGAGCACCGGGUGCUAACGUCCGGACUCAAAAGGGAAACAACCCAGACCGCCGGCUAAGGUCCCCAAUAACAGCUAAGUGGAAAACGAAGUGGAAAGGCCGUGACAACCAGGAAGUUGGCUUAGAAGCAGCCAUCCUUCAAAGAAAGCGUAAUAGCUCACUGGUCGAGUCCUUCUGCGCGGAAGAUGUAACGGGGCUAAGCUGUUAACCGAAGCCGCGGAUGCACUGAUUAUUCAGUGCGUGGUAGGGGAGCGUUCUGUAAGUCUGCGAAGGCGGUUCGAGAGGACUGCUGGAGAUAUCAGAAGUGCGAAUGCUGACAUGAGUAACGUUAAAGCAGGUGAAAAGCCUGCUCGCCGUAAGCCCAAGGAUUCCUGCUCUACGUUCAUCGGAGCAGGGUGAGUCGGCUCCUAAGGUCAGGCCGAAAGGCGUAGCCGAUGGGAAUCAGGUUAAUAUUCCUGAACCUGCGUCAGAUGCGAUGGGGGGACGGAGCAUGAAAGAUCAUCCGGGUGUUGGAUGUCCCGGUUGACGAGCGUAGGAGGUCUGCAGGCAAAUCCGCAGACGCAUCUCCAAGGCGAAGUCACGUGCCGCCACGGCGGCGAAGUGAUCGGAAGUGCUUCCAAGAAAAGCCUCUAAGCACCAGUCUGGCGCGGACCGUACCGCAAACCGACACUGGUGGGCGAGCUGAAUAUGCUCAGGCGCUUGAGAGAACUCGGGAGAAGGAACUCGGCAAAUUGACACCGUAACUUCGGAAGAAGGUGUGCCGUAGUAGCGUGAGAGGAGAGACACCUUGAGCGUGAAUCGGUCUCAGAGAAUAGGUGGCUGCGACUGUUUAUUAAAAACACAGCACUCUGCAAAGUCGAAAGACGACGUAUAGGGUGUGAUGCCUGCCCGGUGCUGGAAGAUUAAUUGAUGGGGUGAGAGCCCUUGAUCGAAGUCCCAGUAAACGGCGGCCGUAACUAUAACGGUCCUAAGGUAGCGAAAUUCCUUGUC